CAAAAAACGAAUAUGUUGCUUAUUGAAGAAUUCAAAGCUGGGCUUAUAAAGUAAAGAAUAAAUUUUGAAUUCCAAAUACUGCAAAUUUAUUAUGUUUUUAAUAAUACACAUAUUUUGAAAAGAAGAUAGAUCGUUGCUGAAGGAGCAUGUCUUCCUCUUGCGAUACUAACACUAACUAAAGACAGCCAUGACUCAACAAUUCUUUUGAGUUGUUUGAAGGGAAAAGUAAAAUCUUUCAGUUAUAAUGUUGCCAAAUAAGAGAUCAAAUCUUAAUAAUUUAGAUGAGAUUGCUUAAGUUUAGGCUCAUCAAUUCGAUUGCUGACAUUAAGAUACAAUUACAGAAAAUAGUAUUUUUGAAAUCUCUCACUGAGGUCUGGACUUAGUACUUACUAAAGAUAACAUUUCAACACUCUACAAAGUGACUCAUACUUUAGCUUUCUUGCUGCUACUCUCCCUUAAUAAAUGAGCUUGAACGAAUUAAUCGUUGCAGCUUUAAAAUUAUUCUGUCGACUUACUAAUGGCAUAAAUUUACUUAAAAAAAUAUUUUUUAGAUACGAGAAGUUUAUAAUAAAGAACAAAAGUCAGAUUGCAUAUUUUUUUGCCAAGUUCAAAUCGUUAUCCAAAGUAGCUUGGUAAGCCGACAGAAAGUCUUUGAUUUAAUAAAUAUUCCAAACAAACAUAUGACAGUAUUGUUCCAUUAAAAUAACUUUAGUUUCACUUGUAGGUUAGUUAAUACCUAACUUAAUAGUUGAC